rnacentral:rRNA from 1 species
AACAAACGCUGGCGGCGUGCCUAAUACAUGCAAGUCGAACGGGGAAAGCUUUCGGGUGAGUACUAGUGGCGCACGGGUGAGGAACGCGUGGAUAAUCUGCCUUAGAGUGGGGGAUAACUAGUCGAAAGAUUAGCUAAUACCGCAUAAGACCACGAGAGCUGCGGCUUUUGAGGUCAAAGGUUUUUCGCUCUAAGAUGAGUCCGCGUAAGAUUAGCUAGUUGGUGAGGUAACGGCUCACCAAGGCGACGAUCUUUAACUGGUCUGAGAGGAUGAUCAGUCACACUGGAACUGAGACACGGUCCAGACUCCUACGGGAGGCAGCAGUAGGGAAUAUUGCACAAUGGAGGAAACUCUGAUGCAGCGACGCCGCGUGAGUGAUGAAGGCAUUCGGGUCGUAAAGCUCUGUCGCAGGGGAAUAACACAAUGAAGGUACCCUGUAAGAAAGGAUCGGCUAACUUCGUG